CCAGCCUCAUCCCAGCUCUUAACUCCUUUUGCAUAGUCUAGUUUCAUUUCUGGCAACAAAUUCUCAAUUUCCUAGAAAGCCCUGAUUUUCAUGGCUCAAGCCUGUAAUCCCAGCACUUUGGG